rnacentral:rRNA from 1 species
AUGGCCGCCGACCGUCUCUCUGCUCUCCCCGACGCUCUGCUGCAGCACAUCCUAUCAUUCGCGUCCGAGAGGGAGGCCGCUGCCAGCGCCGUCCUCUCGCGCCGAUGGCGCCCUCUGUGGCGCGGAGCGAGGGCCGUCGACCUGGACAUCAGGCCCUACAUGGCCGCCGACGAGGGUCAAGGCCUCCGCAUCAGCCCUUCGCACCCAUAA